rnacentral:rRNA from 1 species
UACAGAGGUCUCGAAGCGUUGUUCGGAUUCAUUGGGCGUUAAAGGGCGCGUAGGCUGCGGGGCAAGUCGGGUGUGAAAUCUCAGAGCUCAACUCUGAAAACUGCACUCGAUACUGCUUUGCUCGAGGACUGGAGAGGAGAUUGGAAUUCACGGUGUAGCAGUGAAAUGCGCAGAUAUCAGGAGGAACACCGGUGGCGAAGGCGGGUCUCUGGGCCGAUACUGACGCUGAGGAGCGAAAGCGUGGGGAGCAAACAGG